rnacentral:ncRNA from 1 species
UUAAAAAUAGUGUUAGGGAAGAGUAUGUUAUUCGCUUUUUAUAGAGAGUGCAUGGGAGCUGGAAAUGCAUAAAAGUUAUAACUGAAGGUAGCCCGUUUUGAACUUUAAUUGAACUUAGAGUAGGUUAAAGCGUGUCAUGAGCGUUAAUCAUAAGAGAGCAGUAGUGUAGAGAUUUGUUUGCACUAUUGAAUAUAGGUGGUACCGCGGAACAUCCGUCCUAUUU